ensembl:misc_RNA Gm27997 predicted gene, 27997
CUUUCCUGUAUUUCGUAAUCAUCUUCCAACGUCACGCAUCUCUUCCAGGCAUCACCGAGAACACAAUUC